rnacentral:snRNA from 1 species
AUACUUACCUGGCAGGGGUGACACCAUGAUCAAGCAGGUUGCCCAAGGUGAGGCUCUGUCAUUGCACUCUGACCGUGCUGACCCUUGUGAAUUCCCCAAAUGUGGGAAUCUUCAACUGCAUAUUUGUGGUAGUGGAGGGGACUGUGUUCGCGCUCUCCCCUG